UACGUAGGGUGCGAGCGUUGUCCGGAAUUAUUGGGCGUAAAGAGCUUGUAGGCGGUUUGUCGCGUCUGCCGUGAAAAUCCGAGGCUCAACCUCGGACUUGCGGUGGGUACGGGCAGACUAGAGUGUGGUAGGGGAGACUGGAAUUCCUGGUGUAGCGGUGAAAUGCGCAGAUAUCAGGAGGAACACCGAUGGCGAAGGCAGGUCUCUGGGCCACUACUGACGCUGAGAAGCGAAAGCAUGGGGAGCGAACGGG
rnacentral:rRNA from 1 species